CCAGGCUGACAUGAUGUCUUGUUUGCAAGAGUUAAGGAUCUUCGGAUGCCAUUCUCUACCAGCCUCUCAAUUCAACGAGGGAAGAUUUUUACCUGCAACCCUCGAGAGUCUUAAAAUUUCAUUCUGCAAAGGAGUGGAGUCGCUUGAAGAGAUAAUUCUAGACCGUUUUCAGUCACUUCAGGUGAUUGAAAUUAGGCAUUGUGAGAAUUUGAGAAGCUUACCACAGUACCUACAUACUCUGUCCCAUCUCACUUCCUUGAUAUUGGUCAAAUGUCCUGCUCUGGAGCUGGAGUGCUUUCCUCCUGUUCCUCCUUGCAUCUCUUGCUUUUCUAUUAGGGCAUGUCCGAAGAUAAAAUCGUUGCCUGACCGGUUGAAUCAACUUAAAUAUCUCCGUGAUCUUGAAAUUUUAGAUUGUGAGAGCAUUACGUGUUUCCCUCAUGGAGGAUUGCCGCCCCAGCUACGGGAACUUACAGUAUGGGGAUGUGAGAAUAUGAAGCAAUCGGUGAGGGAUUGGCUUACCCCCCUCACCUCCCUUCAAAAUCUAUGGAUCGACGGCAAUGCUGGAGGAGUGGGAGAAGAGGAGGAUCUUAUGCUUCCACUUCCUCCCUCUCUGCUCCAUCUUAGAAUCGAUGAUUUAGUUAAUGUGAAAAGAUUAUCCGGCAGUCUCCCUCCCACUCUCCGAGCCUUAGGGAUCUCACGAUGCCCAAAGCUUAGGGAGUUGCCCCAGGAUGGCCUCCCUCCCUCCCUCGAGCAACUCAUGAUCUUUAAUUGUAGGAUUCUCAAGGAGCAGUGCUCCAAACGGACCGGCUACUAUUGGGACCUCAUCCGCGAAAUCCCAAAAGUUGAAUUAAGGGGUAUAAUCACUUGAGUUGGCUCUUUAAAAGCUGUUCAUAUUUUAGACCCAAAAAUUAUGUUGCUUAAAGAAGCGUGUUUUAAUUUUAGCAGAUUGGUGAGCUGAAGCUUUAGGCCGUAACUAGGGCGUCAAAAGUACCCCCUUUCAUGAAGAUUUCUCUGUCUUGAAAUAUUUCAUUAAAAUCAGAUUAUAUUGUACUUACAUCAGGCGAAGUUUGUCGGUAUGACCUGGCGACUUAUAGAAAGGUUGAUAUACCCUUCCUUCACCAUGCCUCACCGGUAUUAAGUCUAGGAAGGAGAAGAUGCUGAAGGGGACCCUGCAUGUUAAAAUGCUCCUCAUUGUGCAGAAGAAGGGAGAUGCCACUGCAGGCUUCGUUCUUAACGUCUCGACUUUUUGUGGAAUCUCUCCCAUGAUUAGUUGGUUCUCAAAUUACUCAUGGCGAUAGAGGCCAAAGGAUCUGCUGCAAUUCGUAACUCUCACUGGAAGUGGCUUGCUGCUAGGACUAAAGAGUUGGUCUUCAUCCAGGCUGCAGUUUGUGGUGUGGUUUUUUCUAAUUCCUUAGCUGCAGACAAGGUUGUACGCACAGAAUCUUAAAGUGGUUGCUCUGACUUUUUUGUUGCUGGGGAAAUUGUCAGAAUGCUUUGAUUCUUAAUAUCUUGACUUCUGUGGAAACUUUUCCAUUAUUAGUUGGUUCUCAAAUUACUCACGGGUAUAGUUAUGGAUAUGUUCUCUUUCUCUGUUCAAUAAAUGUCUGUUUUUCACUGGUGUUUCAA